AGCAAAGGGCUGGGAGCAAGGGGGCUGGGGCCGGGAGCUGGGCGCGGGGCGAGCGGGCCGUCGCGUUCAUUUCCAUAAGAAAGCUGAAAUCGCGGUUGGAGGGAGGAUUUCUCGCCCCUACCGCCCUCCCUCUAUACCCGGGUUUCUGCAAGAAGCGGGCUCGGGAGCUCAGAGCCCUCCGCGUGCGAGCCGGUCUUUGAUGGUAUUGAUAAAACGUGGUUUCCAAUGUUGCCCGGACUGAGGCCGGUUUCCUGCCUGUGCGGAGUGGAAGGACCGCGCGGGUGUGCAGUGUUCCAGCCGACUAAAUGGGCUUGCCUUCUGCCGGGAGGCAGUCCUGGAGGACACAACUAAUGUGCAAUCUCCCAGGAAGCUCUUCAUCAGAACAUCCCUU
rnacentral:lncRNA from 1 species